AAUGGAUCUGAGUCUCUGUGUUCCCUUCACUGCUUGCCGGUUCGUCUGUGUUUGCUCCCUCUUGUUUCUCCCUACAUUGGAGUGUCCGUUUUGUUCCUAAGUUUUCCUCGUGUUUAUUUUCCCACUACCUGUAUUCCUGUCUGCCAUCUUGUUCGACCGUUUAACUGGAGGCAUCUGAUCGGUACCAGAUUCAUUCUGCAGCAGGACAACGAGCCCAAAACUACAGCCAGAGUCAUUAAGACCUAUCUUUAGUGCCAAGAAGACCAAGGAGUCCUGCAACAGGUGUUCUGGCCCCCAGAGAGCCCUGAUCUCGACAUCAUGGAGUCAGUGUGGGAUUAGAUGAAGAGACAAAGGACACUGAGACAGACUACAACCCCAGAGGAACUGUGGCAAGUGGAACAAUCUACCUGCCAAGCACCUUGAAAAGGCAAAGGGUAGUCAGACCAAAUACUGAUUUGAUUUAGUUUUUUCCUGUUUACUGCACUUUUUAUGAAGUUAACUGAUAAAACUAUUAAUAGCAUUAUUUUUGAAAGCAUCCUCACUUUUACUUUUAGUCACUAAAACUCCUGCACAUUACUGUACAUACUAUGUAUGUGUGUGCAUACAUGUUUUUCAUUCUUUCUUUGUUUUUUAGAUUAUUCUUUGUAUGCUUGACUCACAUUCAAAAUAAUAAAUACUAUGGUUUUUAAAGUUA